GUGCUGAUGAAGAGUCCCCAAACCUGGACGAAACAGCUGUCCAGUAC
rnacentral:hammerhead_ribozyme from 1 species